rnacentral:rRNA from 1 species
AUUGAACGCUGGCGGCAGGCCUAACACAUGCAAGUCGAGCGGAUGAAGGGAGCUUGCUCCUGGAUUCAGCGGCGGACGGGUGAGUAAUGCCUAGGAAUCUGCCUGGUAGUGGGGAAUAACGUCCGGAAACGGGCGCUAAUACCGCAUACGUCCUGAGGGAGAAAGUGGGGGAUCUUCGGACCUCACGCUAUCAGAUGAGCCUAGGUCGGAUUAGCUAGUUGGUGGGGUAAAGGCCUACCAAGGCGACGAUCCGUAACUGGUCUGAGAGGAUGAUCAGUCACACUGGAACUGAGACACGGUCCAGACUCCUACGGGAGGCAGCAGUGGGGAAUAUUGGACGAUGGGCGAAAGCCUGAUCCAGCCAUGCCGCGUGUGUGAAGAAGGUCUUCGGAUUGUAAAGCACUUUAAGUUGGGAGGAAGGGCAGUAAGUUAAUACCUUGCUGUUUUGACGUUACCAACAGAAUAAGCACCGGCUAACUUCGUG